rnacentral:rRNA from 1 species
AUUGAACGCUGGCGGCAUGCCUUACACAUGCAAGUCGAACGGCAGCACGGGAGCAAUCCUGGUGGCGAGUGGCGAACGGGUGAGUAAAGUAUCGGAACGUGCCCAGUCGUGGGGGAUAACGUAGCGAAAGUUACGCUAAUACCGCAUACGAUCUAUGGAUGAAAGCGGGGGAUCGCAAGACCUCGCGCGAUUGGAGCGGCCGAUAUCAGAUUAGGUAGUUGGUGGGGUAAAGGCUCACCAAGCCGACGAUCUGUAGCUGGUCUGAGAGGACGACCAGCCACACGAGGACUGAGACACGGCCCAGACUCCUACGGGAGGCAGCAGUGGGGAAUUUUGGACAAUGGGCGAAAGCCUGAUCCAGCCAUGCCGCGUGCAGGAUGAAGGCCUUCGGGUUGUAAACUGCUUUUGUACGGAACGAAAAGGUUUGGCCUAAUAAGCUGAGCUCAUGACGGUACCGGCAUAAGAAGCACCGGCUAACUACGUGCCAGCCGCCGCGGUAA